rnacentral:tRNA from 1 species
GGGCCUGUAGCUCACUUGGUAGAGCGCUUCCAUGGCAUGGAAGAGGUACGGGGUUCGAAUCCCCGCAGGUCCACCA